GACGUGCCUGUGGCACUCCAUCGCGGCAGCUCAGUGGGAGGUGCGGUGCGGCAGAUCUGUGGCGCCGGUGGCCGCUUCUUCCUCCCCUCUAGCAGGUUUUCGUUUGGUCCCGCCGCGGUCGGUUACGCUGGGUACUUGGCCAUGGCGGCGGCUACACGCGGCGGCGAUGAGUACACUCCGAUCCGACGACCAAAUCGCAAGCACCAGAAUUGGUCAGGUAGGUAGAGGUGCUUUGAGAUGGGCUUCAGCUGAUACUGUUUGGAAAAUGGAAUUGAUUUCUUCUUGCAGAUCGUGUGGGCAGAGGUGCUUGAGAUCCCCCAAUAGGAGCAAAAGGUGUGAGACUCUUCUUAUUUGGUCAUGUUGUUCCCAUCCGCACGAGGCAUUCUAACACUAGUACUGAGGAGCUUGAGAUGAACAUGAGACGCACAGGGAGCAAUUCAGUACUCUAUUUUUCUCUGAGUAAGAACAUGCCGAAAAUACCUAGCUACAUAGGUUUAAGUAUGUAUUUGUUGGCUGUGAUAAAACUACACAAAUCUUUACUAACAUGGAUGUAUACAAGCUGUCGCUUUUACUACACAAAUCUGUUGGCUUGGUGCAGAAAUUAGCAAAGAUGACAACUUAUUGAAGAUGGGCCUUCCGACAAGUGAUGAAAUGCAGAAGGAAGAAAUUGCCUGCGUAUGCAAAGAUGAUGGCCAAAUUGGGGGGCCUCAAACUAUUCGCAAAGACUCAAUUUGGCUACAAUACUUUUAGUUAGAAUGA